GACGAACGCUGGCGGCGUGCUUAACACAUGCAAGUCGAACGGUAAGGCCCUUCGGGUACACGAGUGGCGAACGGGUAGAGUAACACGUGGUGAUCUGCCCUGCACUUCGGGAUAAGCCUGGGAAACUGGGUCUAAUACCGGAUAGGACUCCUGGCUUCAUGGUUGGGGUGUAAAGCUUUUGCGGCGUGGGAUGGGCCCGCGGCCUAUCAGCUUGUUGGUGGGGUAAUGGCCUACCCAAGGCGACGACGGGUAGCCGGCCUGAGAGGGUGACCGGCCACACUGGGACUGAGAUACGGCCCAGACUCCUACGGGAGGCAGCAGUGGGGAAUAUUGCACAAUGGGCGCAAGCCUGAUGCAGCGACGCCGCGUGAGGGAUGACGGCCUUC
rnacentral:rRNA from 1 species